rnacentral:lncRNA from 1 species
CAUAGCAUCAUUGCUAUCCAAUCUCUCGAAUCCACAACAAAAUGUGGCUAGAAAUGCUUAGUGCAGUCUCCCAAGGCAAACAUUGCUGUGAUGAGUGACAAACUGAAACAACGGGAGCUGCUCCUGUUGCCAUGGAAACAAGCCUUUCCAUCUGAGUCGUUCAAUCCCAGUAUUCAAAAUCUCAAGCUUUGCAAAGAUGCAGUAAGACAAAGGAUGAUGAAGAAUGAAGGGACGGGGGAUGAAAAGGGCAAGGUGGAAAUUCAGGUGAUUGUGAAGUCAAUGGCGAUGAAUGAAAAAACAAGAAUAUGCUUUAAACUAGGAUUCAUCAUAGACUUGUGCAUUCCAUAG